rnacentral:rRNA from 1 species
UACGUAGGGUGCAAGCGUUGUCCGGAAUUAUUGGGCGUAAAGAGCUCGUAGGUGGUUUGUCGCGUUGUCCGUGAAAACUCACAGCUUAACUGUGGGCGUGCGGGCGAUACGGGCAGACUGGAGUACUGCAGGGGAGACUGGAAUUCCUGGUGUAGCGGUGGAAUGCGCAGAUAUCAGGAGGAACACCGGUGGCGAAGGCGGAUCUCUGGGCCAUUACUGACGCUGAGGAGCGAAAGCGUGGGGAGCGAACAGG